UACGUAGGGUGCGAGCGUUGUCCGGAAUUAUUGGGCGUAAAGGGCUCGUAGGCGGUCUGUCGCGUCGGGAGUGAAAACUCAGGGCUUAACCCUGAGCCUGCUUCCGAUACGGGCAGACUAGAGGUAUGCAGGGGAGAACGGAAUUCCUGGUGUAGCGGUGGAAUGCGCAGAUAUCAGGAGGAACACCGGUGGCGAAGGCGGUUCUCUGGGCCUUACCUGACGCUGAGGCGCGAAAGCUAGGGGAGCGAACAGG
rnacentral:rRNA from 1 species